rnacentral:rRNA from 1 species
AUUGAACGCUGGCGGCAGGCCUAACACAUGCAAGUCGAGCGAGCGGCGGACGGGUGAGUAAUGUCUGGGAAACUGCCUGAUGGAGGGGGAUAACUACUGGAAACGGUAGCUAAUACAGCAUACCAUCAGAUGUGCCCAGAUGGGAUUAGCUAGUAGGUGGGGUAAAGGCUCACCAAGGCGACGAUCCCUAGCUGGUCUGAGAGGAUGACCAGCCACACGGGAACUGAACCACGUUCCCGACUCCUACGGGAGGCAGCAGUGGGGAAUAUUGCACAAUGGGCGCAAUCCUGAUGCAGCCAGGCCGCAUGUAUGAAGAAGGCCUUCGGGUUGUAAAGUACUUUCAGCGGGGAGGCGUUACCCGCAGAAGAAGCACCGGCUAACUCCGUGCCAGCCGCCGCGGUAAUUC